rnacentral:tRNA from 1 species
GGAGAGGUACCGAAGCGGUCAUAACGGCGCCGCCUCGAAAGCGGAUGGGUUAAUAGCCACGUGGGUUCGAAUCCCACCCUCUCCG